GAAGAGGGCAACGCGAGGACCGGGGGAACCCGGAGAAUGCGAGUCAACAAGCUUUUUGGAGCAAGGGCGAAGAGUAAGCGUUCAAGUGACAAAGGGCAGACGGGGAAUGCCUAGGCAGCAGAAGGCGAAGAAGGACGUGGCGAGCUGCGAAAAAGCUUCGGGGAGCCGCUCACAGGCGUUGAUCCGGAGGAAUCCGAAUGGGGGAACCCCACUGGGGGAAUGCCCAGUGAGCCUUGCCUGAAUUCAUAGGGCAAGGCGGCAAACCCGGGGAAGUGAAACAUCUCAGUACCCGGAGGAAAAGAAAUCAAACGAGAUUCCCCAAGUAGUGGCGAGCGAAAAGGGAAGAGCCCAAACCACCGGUAUGCAAGGUCAAAGCCGUUGUACCGGCGGGGUUGUUGGAGAUAAGGCGGCGUAACUUUGAGUGCGCCCGGUACGAGCACCCGUUAGGCGAGUGGCCUGGAAAGGCCAACCAGAGAGGGUGACAGUCCCGUAGACGAAAACGGGGUGCAAGACCGACUUAUGAUCCAGAGUACCACCGGGCCCGAGAAACCCGGUGGGAAGCAGGGAAGACCACUUUCCAAGGCUAAAUACUAAC
rnacentral:rRNA from 1 species